rnacentral:rRNA from 1 species
GCCAGCAUCUAUUCCACCCUGGAACUCACAACUGGCAGCCAACUGAAUCUCAGCAGGUGUGAGCCUGGUUAGUACCUAGAUGGGAGACCUCCUGGGAAAAGCUAAGGUUGCUGGUG